GUGAUGUGGCCGUUCCCGCCUGAGCCGACGAAGGAGGUGUCCGCUCCGACGCUGUCCUCCUUGGAUCAUACGUCCGUGGUGUCCUUGAACCUGUUCGUGGCGCUCCUCCUUGCUUGCAUUGUGAUCGGUCAUCUCUUGAAAGAGAACCGGUGGAUGAAUGAGUCCAUUACUGCUCUGAUGAUCAUUCGAGUUUAAGGAUGUGUACAUGUGCAAACAUUUCUUUUGGUCUUGUGCCAGAGGCUGAAGGCUUUUGGUUUAAUUCAAGCAGUUUGUUGAAGAAGAAAAGGACCAGGAUAUAUGUUAUGAUGAUGAAGAAGAUAGUGCUGGAAUGGAUGAAACAAUCAUGAGUGAUGUUGACUCUUGCAUCUGCUGGAUAAGCCAGGGCACAUUGUAGAAGGAAAUGAGGAGGAAAUCAAAGAAAAUAGACAAAGAUGUGAAGGAUAACUCAGCAAACCUUGUUGUGAGGCACACUUCAAUGAGGAUGAAAGUGAAGAGAAUGCGAAUGAUGCUGAGUUGGUAAAGCGCCUGAACAAGCAGAGAUGGCGAGCAAUUGCUGCUGUUCAUAGAGGAGGGAAGACCAUUGCUUCUAGAAAUUCUUACAAGGACAAAGGUGGAAGGUCAUCUCACAAUUCCAAAAUUCAAAAACAAUUAAGCUCCUGGUAGUGCACAUGGAAGAAUUCAGCAGCAUGUAGGGGCUGGAGGAAGUCUGAGGAACGAAUGAGGAAAGAGAUGGAAAGAUUUGAUCGUGAAAGAAGGAAGGAAGAAGAAAGGUUGAUGUGAACAGCAGAGAGAGGAGGAGAGAUUGCUACGUGAGCAAAGGCGAGAAUCAAAGCGACGGGAGAAGUAUUUACAGAAAGAAUCCAUUAAGGCGGAGAAAAAGAGACAAAAGAAGAGCUUUGCUGAGAAAAAGAAGCAGAGAGAUGAAAAGCUGCAGUGGAGAAGGCCACUGCUCGCAGAAUUGCCAAGGAAUCCAUGGAGCUUAUGGAGGAUGAACAGCUGAGCUGAUGGAAUUGACCGCUGCAAGCAAGGGGUUGCCUUCAAUUGUUAAUCUGAAACGUUUAGAAGUGAGGAUCUGGUUUAUAUUUCAUUGCACUUGAAUUUGCUUCAUGCUGUCAUUUUGUAGUGAAGGAGCUGAUUUUGACAUCUUGAAAUUAUAGUCAAUAGAUGCAUAGAUAUGUAUCUCUUGUUACUGUUUCUUGUUUCUGUAGUUACACGGAAAAAAAAGAAGAGUUUCUGGUUUGUUGUAUGGUGCUAUUCUGGUAAUUGAGUAUACAUGCGUAUGUACAUAAGCAGGCGCAUGCCUCCA